AGGGCUUCUAGUUGGUUUCCAUUUCUGUCCCGUUCUGUUGAGUGGUGUUGCUGUAUUUCUUGUGGCUUUCAGUUCGUCUUUGCACACUGACUUGAGCAGGGACGAGGUUUUCGAGAGAGUUGAAGGAUUUGAGCUAACUGGUCACAUCACCAAGACAUUAUACGCUGACGAAAUAAGCUGUGGAUUGAGAUGCCUUCAAGAU